rnacentral:pre_miRNA from 7 species
UUCCGGAGUUCCUGGAUGUCACACAGAUCUCAAUGGGGCCUCCAAAUGAAAGAAACUAGUGGGGGAACCCCCCACUCAACUCCCAAUUCGGCAUGCACCCAAGAAUCACGAACAAACAA